GGUUUGGAUCCUGCCUCCAUUGUGCGUGUGUGGAGUUUGCAUGUCCUCUGCACGUGGUGCGGUUUUCAUUCAGCUCUUGUACUGUGAAGAACUGCCCAUUGGAUUUCCCAGAGGAAGCAGCCUGCAGACCUGCUCUGGCUGAUAAUUGGGGUAACUCUGUUAUCUCACAGGAGACACAAAGACAUGCGCAAUGUUCAUAAAAAAAAAGUUAAUUCUUUGUGUUCCUGCAAUGGACUGGUUUCCAAUCUACAAAACACAAGACCUAUGUUUUGAAACUCAGGCUCUAGAUCACUGUUGCCCCAGUUUAAAACGUGGAUGAAGGGAGUUUCAUACUGAGAGCCUAAGCGGUUUUUGCAGACAGUAAACUUUGUGAUAGAAUCUGUCACUUAACGGUUGUUCAAGGGCAAUAAACAAAAAGCAGAGUCAAAUGUGACAA